rnacentral:tRNA from 1 species
CGGGACGUGGCGCAGCUUGGUAGCGCACUUGACUGGGGGUCAAGGGGUCGCGAGUUCAAAUCUCGCCGUCCCGA